UGCUCGCGAAGUGAUUGAACGAGGUUCCAGGAAAAGCCACUAAGCUUCAGCUACACACGACCGUACCGCAAACCGACACUGGUGCGCGAGAUGAGUAUUCUAAGGCGCUUGAGAGAACUCGGGAGAAGGAACUCGGCAAAUUGACACCGUAACUUCGGAAGAAGGUGUGCCCUAUUAGUGUGAAGUGAACAACGGAGCAUGAAUGGGUUGCAAAAAAUCGGUGGCUGCGACUGUUUAUUAAAAACACAGCACUCUGCAAACACGAAAGUGGACGUAUAGGGUGUGACGCCUGCCCGGUGCUGGAAGAUUAAAUGAUGGGGUGCAAGCUCUUGAUUGAAGUCCCAGUAAACGGCGGCCGUAACAAUAACGGUCCUAAGGUAGCGAAAUUCCUUGUCGGGUAAGUUCCGACCUGCACGAAUGGCGUAACGAUGGCCACACUGUCUCCUCCCGAGACUCAGCGAAGUUGAAAUGUUUGUGAUGAUGCAAUCUCCCCGCGGAAAGACGGAAAGACCCCAUGAACCUUUACUGUAGCUUUGUAUUGGACUUUGAACAGAUCUGUGUAGGAUAGGUGGGAGGCUUUGAAGCAGGGUCGCUAGAUCUUGUGGAGCCAACGUUGAAAUACCACCCUGGUGUGUUUGAGGUUCUAACCUAGGUCCAUUAUCUGGAUCGGGGACAGUGCAUGGUAGGCAGUUUGACUGGGGCGGUCUCCUCCCAAAGCGUAACGGAGGAGUUCGAAGGUACGCUAGUUACGGUCGGACAUCGUGACGAUAGUGCAAUGGCAUAAGCGUGCUUAACUGCGAGACUGUCAAGUCGAGCAGAUGCGAAAGCAGGACAUAGUGAUCCGGUGGUUCUGUAUGGAAGGGCCAUCGCUCAACGGAUAAAAGGUACUCUGGGGAUAACAGGCUGAUACCGCCCAAGAGUUCAUAUCGACGGCGGUGUUUGGCACCUCGAUGUCGGCUCAUCUCAUCCUGGGGCUGUAGCCGGUCCCAAGGGUAUGGCUGUUCGCCAUUUAAAGAGGUACGUGAGCUGGGUUUAAAACGUCGUGAGACAGUUUGGUCCCUAUCUUCCGUGGGCGCUGCAGAUUUGAGGAAGCCUGCUCCUAGUACGAGAGGACCGGAGUGGACGCACCUCUGGUGUAUCGGUUGUCACGCCAGUGGCAUUGCCGAGUAGCUAUGUGCGGAAGAGAUAACCGCUGAAAGCAUCUAAGCGGGAAACUCGUUCCAAGAUGAGAUCUGCCGGGCC
rnacentral:rRNA from 1 species